AAAUUUAUUUCGGUUACAUUGUCGGAUAGAUCCUAUCAGUAUAUCGUAAUUUGCUCUCCGGAUUAUACUGUGGGUGAACAAUGAAAUAGAAUUAUAUAAUACUUACAGCAAACUAACUUCGAGAUUUAUUAAGAACUUCGUCUGAUAUUAUGAGUGAUAAUAAGGUAUUCUUUAGUCCGUUCAAUGUUGGGACAAUUACAAAAGAAAUGUGUUCCAAAGAGACUUCGACGACAUCGCUGCAAAGGGACACCGAUAUAACCUUGAACGCACAGAGUCCAAUUUAAGGAUAAAGACUUCCAGUCUUCACGCAUCAAGGUCCAAGACAAAAAGUCGAGGACUCUGCUCCCAUGCUCCACUGAAAGGAUAUCCAAAUGGCU